AGAAUCAACGCUGGCGGCGUGCCUAACACAUGCAAGUCGAACGCGAAAGCCCCGCAAGGGGUAAGUAGAGUGGCAAACGGGUGAGUAACACGUGGGUGACCUGCCUUCGAGUGGGGGAUAACGUCCCGAAAGGGACGCUAAUACCGCAUGACAUCCUGCUUUUGGAAAAGCGGAGAUCAAAGCUGGGGAUCGUAAGACCUGGCGCUUGAAGAGGGGCCCGCGCCUGAUUAGCUAGUUGGUGGGGUAACGGCCUACCAAGGCGACGAUCAGUA
rnacentral:rRNA from 1 species